rnacentral:rRNA from 1 species
GGAAUCUUGCGCAAUGCGCGAAAGCGUGACGCAGCAACGCCGCGUGGGGGAAGAAGGCCUUCGGGUUGUAAACCCCUUUCAGGAGGGACGAAGCGCGGGCGGUUAAUAGCCGACCCGUGUGACGGUACCUGAGGAAUAAGUCCCGGCUAACUACGUGCCAGCAGCCGCGGUAAAACGUAGGGGACAAGCGUUAUCCGGAUUUACUGGGCGUAAAGCGCCCGUAGGCGGCUUUUUAAGUUGGACGUGAAAGCUCCCGGCUUAACUGGGAGAGGCCGUUCAAAACUGAGAAGCUCGAGUGAGGAAGAGGAGAGCAGAAUUCCCGGUGUAGUGGUGGAAUGCGUAGAGAUCGGGAGGAAUACCAGUGGCGAAAGCGGCUCUCUGGUCCUAAACUGACGCUGAGGGGCGAAAGCGUGGGGAGCGAAC